AUUGAACGCUGGCGGCAGGCCUAACACAUGCAAGUCGAGCGGAUGAAGGGAGCUUGCUCCUGGAUUCAGUGGCGGACGGGUGAGUAAUGCCUAGGAAUCUGCCUGGCCGUGGGGGAUAACGUCCGGAAACGGGCGCUAAUACCGCAUACGUCCUGAUGGUGAAAGUGGGGGAUCUUCGGACCUCACGCUAUCUGCUGAGCCUAGGUCGGAUUAGCUAGUUGGUGAGGUAAAGGCCUACCAAGGCGACGAUCCGUAACUGGUCUGAGAGGAUGAUCAGUCACACUGGAACUGAGACACGGUCCAGACUCCUACGGGAGGCAGCAGUGGGGAAUAUUGGGCAAUGGGCGAAAGCCUGAUCCAGCAAUGCCGCGUGAGUGAAGAAGGUCUUCGGAUUGUAAAGCACUUUAAGUUGGGAGGAAGAGCAGUAAGUUAAUACCUUGCUGUUUUGACGGUACCAACAGAGUAAGCACCGGCUAACUUCGUG
rnacentral:rRNA from 1 species